ACUGACGGAGCAACGCCGCGUGAACGAUGAAGGCCUUCGGUCGUAAAGUUCUGUUGUUAGGGAAGAACAAGUACCGGAGUAACUGCCGGUACCUUGACGGUACCUAACCAGAAAGCCACGGCUAACUACGUGCCAGCAGCCGCGGUAAUACGUAGGUGGCAAGCGUUGUCCGGAAUUAGUUGGGCGUAAGGCGCGCGCAGGCGGUUCCUUAAGUCUGAUGUAGAACGCCCCCGGCUCGAACCGGGGAGGGUCAUUGGAAACUGGGGGAACUUGAGUACUGAAGAGGAAAGCGGAAUUCCACGUGUAGCGGUGAAAUGCGUAGAGAUGUGGAGGAACACCAGUGGCGAAGGCGGCUUUCUGGUCAGUAACUGACGCUGAGGCGCGAAAGCGUGGGGAGCAAACAGGAUUAGAUACACUGGUAGUCCACGCCGUAAACGAUGAGUGCUAAGUGUUAGAGGGUUUCCGCCCUUUAGUGCUGCAGCAAACGCAUUAAGCACUCCGCCUGGGGAGUACGGUCGCAAGACUG
rnacentral:rRNA from 1 species